rnacentral:rRNA from 1 species
AACCGCAAAAGGCUCAUUAUAUCAGUUAUGGUUCCUUAGAUCGUUAACAGUUACUUGGAUAACUGUGGUAAUUCUAGAGCUAAUACAUGCAUUAUAAACACGGACCUUUGGGACGUGUGCUUUUAUUAGGCUAAAACCAAGCGAUCGCAAGAUCGUUAUUAUGGUUGAACUCUAGAUAACUUGCAGAUCGUAUGGUCUUGUACCGACGACAGAUCUUUCAAAUGUCUGCCCUAUCAACUUUUGAUGGUAGUAUCUAGGACUACCAUGGUUGCAACGGGUAACGGGGAAUCAGGGUUCGAUUCCGGAGAGGGAGCCUGAGAAACGGCUACCACAUCUAAGGAAGGCAGCAGGCGCGUAAAUUACCCACUCCCAGCCCGGGGAGGUAGUGACGAAAAAUAACAAUACAGGACUCAUUAUAGAGGCCCUGUAAUUGGAAUGAGUACACUUUAAAUCCUUUAACAAGGACCUAUUGGAGGGCAAGUCUGGUGCCAGCAGCCGCGGUAACUCCAGCUCCAAUAGCGUAUAUUAAAGUUGUUGCGGUUAAAACGUUCGUAGUUGAACUUGUGCUUCAUACGGGUAGUAUAACUAUAAUUGUAGUCUGUACUAUACCUUAUGUAUGUAAGCGUAUUACCGGUGGAGUUCUUAUAUGUAUUAAAUACUUGUAUUUAUAUGUAUUCCUCCUAUUUAAACCUGCUUCAGUGCUCUUCAUUGCGUGCUGUUGUAGGCCGGUACAAUUACUUUGAACAAAUUAGAGUGCUUAAAGCAGGCUCCAAAUGCCUGAAUAUUUUGUGCAUGGAAUAAUGAAAUAAGACCUCUGUUCUACUUUCAUUGGUUUUUAGAUCAAGAGGUAAUGAUUAAUAGAAGCAGUUUGGGGGCAUUAGUAUUACGACGCGAGAGGUGAA